GUGUGCCUGGCUCCCUGUAUGCCAUUUGGAAAGUUCAUCACAAUGGUGAUGCCUUUAGGAAUGGCGUUCAUGGAGUCAAGCAUGU